rnacentral:rRNA from 1 species
UACGUAGGGUGCGAGCGUUGUCCGGAAUUACUGGGCGUAAAGAGCUCGUAGGUGGUUUGUCGCGUUGUUCGUGAAAUCUCACGGCUUAACUGUGAGCGUGCGGGCGAUACGGGCAGACUGGAGUACUGCAGGGGAGACUGGAAUUCCUGGUGUAGCGGUGGAAUGCGCAGAUAUCAGGAGGAACACCGGUGGCGAAGGCGGGUCUCUGGGCAGUAACUGACGCUGAGGAGCGAAAGCGUGGGGAGCAAACAGG